rnacentral:rRNA from 1 species
AACGAACGCUGGCGGCAUGCCUAACACAUGCGAGUCGAACGAGGCCUUCGGGUCUAGUGGCGCACGGGUGCGUAACGCGUGGGAACCUGCCCUUAGGUUCGGAAUAACUCCCCGAAAGGGGUGCUAAUACCGGAUAAUGUCUUCGGACCAAAGAUUUAUCGCCUUUGGAUGGGCCCGCGUUGGAUUAGCUAGUUGGUAGGGUAAAAGCCUACCAAGGCGACGAUCCAUAGCUGGUCUGAGAGGAUGAUCAGCCACACUGGGACUGAGACACGGCCCAGACUCCUACGGGAGGCAGCAGUGGGGAAUAUUGGACAAUGGGCGAAAGCCUGAUCCAGCAAUGCCGCGUGAGUGAUGAAGGCCUUAGGGUUGUAAAGCUCUUUUACCCGGGAUGAUAAUGAUAGUACCGGGAGAAUAAGCUCCGGCUAACUCCGUG